AAUUAAUAUCAUAGCAACCACCAACACCGUUCUAAGCACCCUCGUUUUUUUACUCAGCAAUUCAAACAACCAAUGCCAACGUUGUAAAGCUGCAAAUGAACGGUCUCAGAUACACAUCUUAAAUGCUUUUCUAAUCACAUUUUGAAACCAUAAAACUCUGGGUUUGGUUCAGUUGACCACUGGCUUUCCAGGGACAAUAUAGUUAAGCAGUGGCGC
rnacentral:lncRNA from 1 species